rnacentral:lncRNA from 1 species
UUGAACCCUCGGCCUAUGGGAAAAUGACUCACUACACACUACCAGGCUAGCUGGUUAGGUAUUAAACUAGGUAAGUUUGAACAUAUUUUAUAUAUGAAAACCUUUUUACACUUUUCCGACAGGUGUGAUUCAGCAAAUAACCACAUGCUUUGUCAGCUAAGACCUUGCAAGAUCAGCUUCAGGAUUGGGAUUGGCUUUUGGGUAAUAUAAUGGGGAUUGGUAUGAUUAAAUUCAGAACAUUCAAGUUAUGUACCACCAUCAUUUCCUGAUCCAGUUAAAAACACGGAUAACUACAUAACCAUGCUAGAUUGAGAAAAAAAGUUGCAUAGUCUAAGUGAAUUUUCAGAAAAUUGCCUAACCAACCAAAAAUACUUGAUGAUGGAUAAGAUCUAGACAAUGCAAAUAAGAGUCUUUAUCAAGCACACAGAUCUCUGUUUCACCAUCUUCAUAAACUUAUUACAACAUAUCUUGCCACUUGUAAACUUUGAAGCCAAAGUUAGGCUUUUACACCUUUGUAAGCAAGUUGAUAGUUCAAUCCAAUGAGUUUCAGUAACUUCUGUUAUUAGGAGGAAAGAACCAUUUAUGCUUUAAGUUAUGUAUGUUUCCAUAAUUGUUGAUUGUUAUUGUUCUCAAUGAUUUUAAAAGCACUAAGCGCCAAAAUGAACCAAGGUCCCAAAUCACUUAAGGUGCUAGGCGCUCGCCUAAACUCCCACUCGAGCAAUGCGAGACACUCCAAAAUAUUAAAAUAUAAAAAAUAUAUUUUAUAUAUAGCAAUGACUUCAACGGUGGAGGGAGAUAGUACGAAGGCAACAAUGAUGGAGGGAGCUGCAAACAAAGGCAACGACAUUGAAUGUAGGGUUUCAAAGUAGGGUCAAGUUGUACGAGAGAAGGGGGGGGGGGGGACCAUUCAGUGUUAGAGCUCUUCUCUUUAGUUGGUUCGAUUGAACCAAUUUGCCUAUUCAAUUGAACCAAGCACGAACACAAGCCACCUUCACUUGGGUGCUCAUCCGAGGCGCCGACGCUUGGGCUCAGGUGAGCACCCAAUUACUUCAAUGAAUCACAUUGCCCAGAAGUUGUGCAAGGCACUCAAGCCUCGCCUCGCCCGAGCACCCAGGCACCUAUCAAAAACACUAAUUAUUCCUAAUUUUUUCCCUUUUUUGGGCUUCAGUAGAUAUUUGAUUGGAGUUGAAAUAUUUUCAAAAAAGAUUAUGAUUAUGCAAUGCUAUUGUGAGUUCGCAAGGAUUUGACUAAUUGAAUAGUUUCAUAUAUUGGUUGGUUUUAUUUUGACAACUUGAUGAACACAUAUUAGAAACGUACAUCCAAAGCUUUUUCUUAAUUGUUGUUCGAGUUUGCAAUUACUACGAGAGCUAGAGACAUUAUUACUGAAAUUAGUCCAAACAUAUUGCACAUGCAACACUGGUAACUUGCCAUUUUUCCCAAUUAGGAAAUUCUAGUCAUAUGAUUUUGUUUAUUCUUUUUUGUCCAUGUUUUCGUUUCAGUUUAACCCAAAUAUUAGUUAAGAAUUGCAAAUCCAUAUUGCAGGUUUUCAUCUUUCAUGGAGGUAAAUUAUAAAUUGUGAAUAGCAUCUUUAGGGGCCAUGCCCUCAUAAGACCUUAUUAGUGUAUUCCAAACUGCAGCCCACGUGUUCUUUAAUGAAUGUAAAAGAAGUUGAUGUUUAUUAUAAAUAAUAAUCUACUUGGAGAAAUGUAAAUUAUUCACAGUUGAACCACAUUUGCAUGCAGAUGAUAGUCAUAUAGAAGAGCUUAGUGUGACAAGGUUGCAACAUGGUCAUUCAUGUUUCCAAGUUUAUUCUUUUCUUUUAUCUGCUUAUUUACAUGUUUCAAUAUGAGACUGAAUAAGAUCAUUUUGAACCAUGUAUUUAAAUUCUUCAUAGAAGAGCUUAGUGUGACUAAAAUUUGUAAUGUUUUGCUUUCAAACUCAUCGCUUGGUCAUGUGAAAAGAAAAUUAUCUUUUCUAUUGUAUGAACCAAGUUAGUAAAGUCUCAACCAUUCCUUUGUUAAGGGAUUUGAUAAAAUUGAUUUAUGAUUCAAAGCAAGGUUAUCAAACUCACUUCCCUACCUAGGAUCAAAAAGGGGUUGCAAACUUGGAUAAUAGGAUAGGAUCAAAAGAUCCUACAAAUUAUAAAAAAUAAAAAUAAAUAAUUUUAAGAUACAUA